rnacentral:lncRNA from 1 species
GGCGGUUGGGCGGCAAUGACGGCCGCGGCCAGGGGGGAGGCGCAGAAGGAGAGGACGACGACGGCGACCAAAAGGGAGGAGGGUGACAAAUGGGCGACGCCAUGCAGACGGGCGACGACAAGGAGAGGGAGAAAAGAGGAGGAAAAAAAGGGGACGCUCGACGGCCGCGAAGCGGCCGAAAGAAAAAAAAUUUUGGGGCUGUUUUUUAUUGUGUGGAGGCGGUGCGUCGGGGGCGCGCGCGAUGCGUCGGCGGACAGAUGGAUGACCGAGGGCGGCAUUCUUUUCUUUUCUUUUCUUCUAGAGAGGGGCCUCGACAGAUAGACAGAGGAGGAAAAGCGAGAGGAAAACCCGAAAAGAAAAGCGGACGUCGAGAGCGCCCAAGGUCCGAGGAGGAGAGGAAAAAAAAGGCGACGGCGCGACUGCGCGCGACAACAACACACACACAAGAGUGUGUUUGUCGAGGAGGUCGCAAAAUCGCAGCGCGACAACAACGGCGGCCCUCAAAAUUUUACGCAAGGUAUAGGGAUAUAUCCAUGAAAAAACCGGGAUAAAACCAGGUAUUUUAUUUAAAUAAACCGGGAUAAAUCUGGG